UACGAAGGGGGCUAGCGUUGUUCGGAAUUACUGGGCGUAAAGCGCAUGUAGGCGGAUAUUUAAGUCAGGGGUGAAAUCCCGAGGCUCAACCUCGGAACUGCCUUUGAUACUGGAUGUCUUGAGUGUGAGAGAGGUGAGUGGAACUCCGAGUGUAGAGGUGAAAUUCGUAGAUAUUCGGAAGAACACCAGUGGCGAAGGCGACUCACUGGCUCAUUACUGACGCUGAGGCUCGAAAGCGUGGGGAGCAAACAGG
rnacentral:rRNA from 1 species